GUGUCAGCAGCCGCGGUAAUACGGAGGGGGCUAGCGUUGUUCGGAAUUACUGGGCGUAAAGGGCGUGUAGGCGGUUUAUCAAGUCAGGCGUGAAGCCCUGGGCUUAACCUAGGAGGUGCGUUUGAUACUGAUAAACUUGAGAUCGGGAGAGGAAAGUAGAAUUCCCAGUGUAGAGGUGAAAUUCGUAGAUAUUGGGAGGAAUACCAGAGGCGAAGGCGGCUUUCUGGACCGAAUCUGACGCUGAGGCGCGAAAGCGUGGGGAGCAAACAGGAUUAGAUACCCGGGUAGUCC
rnacentral:rRNA from 1 species